GAGGCUGAGCCCUGGGGCCGAGCCGGUGGAGCGGAGCGGGCGUGGAGGUGUCCCGUGACCUGCAUGCUGAUCGGAUCUGCGUCCCCUGAUCGAGUCACCUUGAUUGAGUUGGGCUCCUUGGUGUUUACCGUUAAAAAUAGGAAAGCUUGCAUCAGGAGGACCAGAUGCCAAUCAUCAUAAUAUUCACAUUUUCUGGUUCUCAAGUGGAAGAUCUGUCCAAGCCCUUCUUGAUGGAUUUCCUCACAGGGAACAUGAGACCAGAACAGUCUUGAAGGGGACUCCAGAUAAAUUACCCCACAAUUCUCACCACACUCCUGAAUCCUUGGAAACUUUCUUCUUCUACUGAUGGGACUCCAAACCUGAGGGGAAGGUGGGUCUCACCUAGUGAGGCAGAAGGAAGUUGGAAUACCAGCAAUGGGAACCAGCUGUGACAAUAAAGAGGCUGAGAGGAAUUAGUAAUUUUGAAAGGUGCUGUGCUGCAUCCUCAGCCUUGCACUGGUAGGUCAGCUCUGAGUCUAGUCCAGCAUUUACAUGUUGUGGAGUGUGAGUGGUGUUACUGCAAAGGAACAGGAAUGUUUCGGAGCUGUGACUGCUGAUCUACUGGCAGCAAAUAGAUCAGUCAUUGUAAAGCAAUGAACAUAAUUAGAUUCCUGGACGAGAUGUCAAUAUGUGGAACCAUCUUGAGGGAAGUCACCAUUCAUCUCUGAAAUUCUUUGGCCACUGCUUGCCAUUCCAUUCUUGGGACUAGUACAUCCUGAGUGGACCUUCACAAGGAGAUGGCCAUACAGAAACAGCUGCUUUUGUGGUCCCCCUUCUCCAUAUGUCAUGUCACAGCGGCAUAGAAUCAUUGAAUCACAGAAUGAUUUGUUCUGGAAAGGACCUUAAGGAUCACCUAAUUCACCCCUCUGCCGUGGGCAGGGACACUUUCCAUUAGACCACGUUGCUCAAAGCCCCAUCUUCCAACUCUUUGAAGUCAUCCACCAAGAUAAGGGCCGAUAUGGUGAAGAACAGUUCAGUAUUAGUGUCUGACAGAAAGAUGGUGCAUGGUAUUUUGAAUAUGGCACUCAGAACAUUAGCAGCAAAUUUUGUCUGGAGCACUGAACAUCUCAAAAGGGGUACAUUGUUAGUUUGACCCCUUAGGAUGAAUCCUUAGUAUUUUCAUGGGUUUUAAAACACAUUGCAUAGGGCAGACAAAAGGUAUUUCACUGCAGAAUAGCACUCAGGCUCUGAAUUCUUUGCCGUUAUGUGAAGAAACCCAAACAUCACCCCCCAGCAGCACCUUUCUGAAAGUGAAACUCGUGGAAGAGUCUACAGCAGGAGGCACAAGGAUGACUACUCGCUGCAAGACCACGCCACGUUCCCACCAUGCACAGCCGGGUGUUUCCAGAGGAUCCCUGUGGCUCCCCAUCCUCUCCUCGUGGGUGCCCGCUCCACCUGCUGGGCACUGCCAGGCGCGGGCAGCAGCGUGACUCCCGGGCUGGAGUGCCAUCUGCCAAACCACCACCCUGCCACCUUGGCAGCUUGGUGAUUCAGCCGCAGGGGUGGGAAUUAGAGCAGCAACACCUGAGGUAUUUAAAUUAUGUCGUAUAUAUAACCACAUGUUUAAAUGCGUAAACCUCGCAGUUGUGUUCUCCAUUGCCCCUGAAAGGGUAAAAUCAGCUGUAAGUCAACAAUCCAUUCAAAAAAAGAGAUAGAUUUAACUAGGUUCUUUUCUAAAUUGAGGGGAUAGCAUACAUUUUCUAAGCAGUGAUGUGCAGAAUACUGAGACACGCCACCUGUACAUCUAUGACACUUUAGAGAAACAGCAGAAUUUCAAUGGGAAGCACACGAAUUCUGCUAUUUAUCUAAGAACUACCAGGUAUUAUUCUGUAAAAGCAAAGUUUUAAGCACCUCCACCUGGGUCAUUAAUCCAGUGGUUAUUAAGACUGUCAGGACACAAGCAUUUCCAGGUGACUGGAAGCGUGCUGCCUGCACACUUUCACCUGGCUUUUGUUCAAUAGAAAUGUUGUGUCCUGUCCAGGCUUCUUGUGGUGCUUGGUGAUUGAAGGAGCAAGCAGCUUUUCAGUUCUUCACCUUCCCAGUACAUUUAGUACAAAGAGCAUUUGGUGGUUCUGGGAAAACCAAAGUCACAAUUCAUUGCCUGCCUUUUGAUUGGUAAUUUAAAAGGUGCAGUAAAGAAAUUCAAGCAGCCUUUGAAUUGCAGACAGUAGAAGAAUAAAAUGCAUUCAGUAGCCUUCUGUUGUCCAACUUGUAUGAACAUAUUGGCUGCUGUAUGGUAGCCUCCAUAACUGUAUGUGUCUUGGUUAGUGACAUUCUCUUGGCCUCUUUUGAAACAGAUUGUCCACAAAAAGGAAAGAUAUUUUUAGCUUGCUGGCCAUAGCAUGUGCACACUAAGGAGAAAUUGUUAUUGCCUAUGGGACAGCAAAAGACAAUACAAAUCAGUAUUGUAGUAGUAAGUGUUAUUGUUCUUUGUAGCUGAGAAUUGCUUUUAGGUAUUUCUCAGUAUUUUCCUGUUUUAUUUGUGUUAAACUGUAGUUAUCUAGUUUAAACUAGCUUUUUGUUGUCAUUAAAGGAAAAGAAGAUCUGACUUUCUAACAUCAUUUAUGGAAUACGUGAAAAUUUGCAACUUGAUCUGUUAGGGCUAACAUUACUGAGAAUUAUUUUGAAAAUCAAAAUUUGUAACUCCUAAUUUCUUAAGGAAGCAAGUACUGUUUAUUCACCUUUACAUACAUCUCAGCUGUAUCUUUGUAGUAUCUCUUGCCUUAAAUUUCCUCAUCCAGAGAGUUGCACUGACCUAUUUCUUUGCCGGAUUUUACACUGCAGUGAGAGAAAUGGGGGAGUUGCCAAAUAUAAAAUCCUGAAUUCAGAGAAAUGCGUUUAUUAGAAAAUCCACCAUGCUGUCAAAAUCAAGAAAUAUUUAGCAACAACGACAUCCAAAACUGCAGAUUAAUCAGCUGCAGUAGAUGGAAUCAUAGGGAAUAAUCAGAAAUGCUGCUCAGUAACACACACUGAUGUUCCUGCAACAGCUGCAGAAUGUCUGUGACAACAAUGUAAGAUGCUAUUUCUCCCUUGAAUCUCUGAUUUUACUGCCUUCACAGGAUAUAUGGUUUAUUACAACUGCUGGAGGAUCAAAUUUAAAGAUUCAGUAUAUAAGGUAAUUGCCUUCCUUGCCCUGGUGAAAAAUUUCUCCUUUCUAGUUUUGCAAGUAUAUGUCUAUGUUUAUUUGUUUUGUUUUGGUUUGGUUUUUUUCAAUUAAUCAAAUAAAUGAAAAUUAACUGAAAACCCAAACAGCAAC